GAUGAACGCUGGCGGUAUGCUUAACACAUGCAAGUCGAACGGACUCUUCGGAGUUAGUGGCGGACGGGUGAGUAACGCGUGAGAAUCUGGCUUUGGGUUCGGGACAACCACUGGAAACGGUGGCUAAUACCGGAUGUGCCGAGAGGUAAAAGAGAAAUUGCCUGAAGAUGAGCUCGCGUCUGAUUAGCUAGUUGGUGAGGUAAAGGCUCACCAAGGCAGCGAUCAGUAGCUGGUCUGAGAGGAUGACCAGCCACACUGGGACUGAGACACGGCCCAGACUCCUGCGGGAGGCAGCAGUGGGGAAUUUUCCGGAAUGGGCGAAAGCCUGACGGAGCAAUACCGCGUGAGGGAAGGAGGCUCUUGGGUUGUAAACCUCUUUUCUUAGGGAAGAACAAAAUGACGGUACCUAAGGAAUCAGCAUCGGCUAACUCCGUG
rnacentral:rRNA from 1 species